CCUACGGGCGGCAGCAGUGGGGAAUAUUGCACAAUGGGGGAAACCCUGAUGCAGCAACGCCGCGUGAAGGAAGACGGCUUUCUGAUUGUAAACUUCUGUUCUUAGUGAAGAAUAAUGACGUGAGCUAAGGAGCAAGCAACUGCGAACUACGUGCCAGCAGCCGCGGUACUACGUAGGUGGCAAGCGUUGUCCGGAUUUACUGGGUGUAAAGGGAGCGCAGGCGGGAAGCCAAGUCAGCUGUGAAAACUACGGGCUUAACUUGUAGACUGCAGUUGAAACUGGUUGUCUUGAGUGAAGUAGAGGCUGGCGGAAUGCCGAGUGUAGCGGUGAAAUGCGUAGAUAUU
rnacentral:rRNA from 1 species